UAUAUAUGAAAGCUGCACAGGUUUAUUAAGUUUUGUAGACUUGACGUAAUGCAUGUAACGAAGAUGAUCGAGACUUUUCACAGAUUUCGGAGCAUUAUAAACUG